AUCCAGGCAACUGGCUCCUCUAUAGCUGACAUGAUCUUUCCUGCUUGAUCUCAGCUUGAUUUGAACUUUGCCACCUGACUUGAACCUUGAAACCUGACUUAGACUCUGACCCUUGAUAUGGACACUGGCCUAGACCAGACUACAAACUUCUCUGCUCCUCCCAGCCUCAGGCCUGACCUCUGAAAGAGGUUGAGUGCAUUUUGGAUGGCUUCAGAGACCUGUUGAGGAGCGCUCCCCCAUAUAAACCAAUCAUCCAGGGAAAAUCAAAGCUAUUAAGCAGGAAGAACUCACAAACUCCACUGGGCAAGCUCAUGGAUCUUCUAAACCCUUAGAAAUUCAGACUGGGGAGAUUAUAGACUCAAUGACCACUGGUGAAAUUUACAGGAAAGUCCUACAGAUUUGCAGCUGCAAGUGACUAAAUGCUUCACUGGAGUAAACAAUCCCUCCUACAGAGUUUAUUUAUAACCUCUGUAAAAACAUAUUGUUUUUCUGACAGGUGCUCCUGGCUGGCAUCAGACAAGUCUUUGGUUCCAACAAUCACAGACCCAGUUACAGUCAAUAGGUGGGUCAAUCAUUCUUUCAGACUCAAUGGAAUAAAUAAUUUAGCCUCUUUAUUUAAUACAAACAGCUAUAAAAAAUGGAGGAUGGCCCAGACUACAUGGCAGGUCAGGGGUUUCCCUGAUUGAAAACACAGGGACGAAGAGAUUGUUUUUUCAGCCUGUGUGUGGUAGAAGCAGAGAGAGCCUUAGAAAGCAUGGUGAAUGUGACCCUAAUAGGAAGCAGAAAAAGACAUUGUCAGGCACAGAGCUCGCUGGAGUGGUACACUUGGGGGCAUCUGAGCUAAGAAAUUGUGUCUGCUAUUUGUUUCUACUAUGUUCAGGGAAACUGGGCUUUGUGUACAUUAUUUGUAAGUAAACAAGAUUACACCAAAAAAUAUACCUGACUCAUAUCAAGUUCUCUUCCUAAAGGGCACAACUCUGCAAGGCCUUGAAUAUUGGCUAACUGCCCAGGCCAAAGGGGCAAUACUAUACAGCUCAAUACAAAGCUGUAAAUCUGUUUCUGCACUGAAAUUUGCCUACAAAGGUAGUUUUUUAUGUUGGCAACUAUAGUACAGUGACAUCUCAACCCAAAAUUAUGCCACAGCUUGAAUGAAUCUCUUACUUCA